CACAAAAUGUGUGGAAAAGCAUAACCAGCGUCAGAAAAUCACUAAGGCUUUCUUCAUUGACUCGUAUGAGAUGACCAACAUCUGGCAGAAGAAGACAUCAAAACUGAAGUGCAAACCAGAAACAUUUGAUAUUAUGUUGGGGGCAGUUCAUGAACCUGGACACUGGAUAUUUGCAGCUAUUUAUCCAAAACAAAAAAGGAGCAUUGUACUUGAUUCCAGUGGCCAUGCUUCUUCAAAACUUAAGAACUGUUUGGAAUCCACCAGGGCAUUCAUGAGGAAGCUUGGAAAUCCAAAUGUUUUACGGUGGAAAGCUGAAACACUGCCACAUUCUUCACAGACAGACUGCAGUUCUUGUGGUGUAUUUGUUAUGAAA